rnacentral:rRNA from 1 species
UACGUAGGGGCUAGCGUUGUCCGGAAUCAUUGGGCGUAAAGAGCGUGUAGGCGGCUCGGUAAGUCCGCUGUGAAAGUCCAGGGCUCAACCCUGGAAUGCCAGUGGAAACUGUCGAGCUAGAGUCCGGAAGAGGCGAGUGGAAUUCCCGGUGUAGCGGUGAAAUGCGCAGAUAUCAGGAGGAACACCAAUGGCGAAGGCAGCUCGCUGGGACGGUACUGACGCUGAGACGCGAAAGCGUGGGGAGCAAACAGG